rnacentral:tRNA from 1 species
GGCUCUGUGGCGCAAUGGACAGCGCAUUGGACUUCUAGCAUCAGCACUGAGGAAGUGAUUCAAAGGUUGUGGGUUCGAGUCCCACCAGAGUCG